rnacentral:rRNA from 1 species
CCUACGUGGGGCAGCAGUGGGGAAUAUUGGACAAUGGGCGAAAGCCUGAUCCAGCCAUGCCGCGUGUGUGAAGAAGGCCUUCGGGUUGUAAAGCACUUUCAGUGGGGAAGAAAGCCUUGGGGCUAAUACCCUCGAGGAAGGACAUCACCCGCAGAAGAAGCACCGGCUAACUCCGUGCCAGCAGCCGCGGUAAUACGGAGGGUGCGAGCGGUAAUCGGAAUUACUGGGCGUAAAGCGCGCGUAGGCGGUCUGAUAAGCCGGUUGUGAAAGCCCCGGGCUCAACCUGGGAACGGCAUCCGGAACUGUCAGGCUAGAGUGCAGGAGAGGAAGGUAGAAUUCCCGGUGUAGCGGUGAAAUGCGUAGAGAUCGGGAGGAAUACCAGUGGCGAAGGCGGCCUUCUGGACUGACACUGACGCUGAGGUGCGAAAGCGUGGGUAGCAAACAGGAUUAGAUACCCCGGUAGUC